AUUCAACUGACGAGUCGUGAACAGGACGAGAUGUGCGUCUUGGAU
rnacentral:hammerhead_ribozyme from 1 species